GACGAACGCUGGCGGCGUGGAUUAGGCAUGCAAGUCGAACGGUAUCAUCCUUUCGGGGGUGAGAGAGUGGCGAACUGGUGAGUAACACGUAGGUUAUCUACCCUCAAGACGGGGACAACCCAGGGAAACUUGGGCUAAUACCGGAUGUGAGCAACUUUUAGUUGUUUGAAAGGUGGCGUAAGCUGUCGCUUGGGGAUGAGCCUGCGUCCUAUUAGUUAGUUGGUGAGGUAACGGCUCACCUAGGCAAUGAUAGGUAGGCGGCCUUAACGGGUGGUCGCCCACACUGGGAUUGAGAUACGGCCCCAGACUCCUACGGGAGGCAGCAGUCGAGAAUAGUCUACAAUGGUCGGAAGACUGAUAGUGCGACGCCGCGUGAACGAUGAAUCCCUUCGGGGUGUAAAGUUCUUUUAUAUGUGAGCAGUGCUUCUUAUAUUAACAGUAUGGGGAGAGAGAUAUUAGCAUAUGAAUAAGCAACGGCUAACUCCGUGCCAGCAGCCGCGGUAAAACGU
rnacentral:rRNA from 1 species